ensembl:lncRNA
GGAUGAGUCUGGAUCCUCCUCUUCUAUCACGGUGGAUGAGUCUGGAUCCUUCUCUUCUGUCAUGGUGGAUAACGGCUCUCAAAGUGACCUUGUCCGAGAGAUUGGCGAGGUUAUCAAAAUGCCAAGGAAAUGGCUUCCUGAAAUCCCUCAAGCAGCUGAUUGGUCGACUCCAUGGCUAAUUGGAGAGCUGACCCCGCCCCCUCGUCAAGACGCAGCUGUCUCCAAUUACCCAUUCCUUCUGACGCUAUAUAAAAGCCAGUGUUCUGUUCAAGAGGGGAUCUCUUCUUUUUGGAGGUAGAGAUUUUGCUGGAGGUAGGGAUUGCUGAGAUUGAUUGUGAUAGAG